GCAGUUUGGGGGCUCCUAUUCUAUGAAGUUACACAAAGUAACUAGAGGGUAAGUGUACUUCUGUAGUUUUUUUUUUAAAUUAACAUUUGAGAUAUGCUUGCAAAUUUUAGGGUAGCCAAAGAAGUACAAAUCAUGUUAUUCAAAAAUUCUGAGUAGGGGCUGGGGAUAUGGCCUAGUGGCAAGAGCUCUUGCCUUGUAUAC